GCCACCACCCCCACCACCACCAAUCCGGCCCACAUCGCCGGACAGCCCCUCAUAUCCGCCGCCGGCAACGCCUCCCCCGCUCCUCGAUUCCCCUCCUCCCCCUCUCUCUCGGGGAGGUCGGGUCGGGUUGGGUUGGGUUCUUCCUCCCCCCUCCCCUCUUCGUGUGCGCCGCGCGGCCGCGACGGCGUAUGUAUUCGCCGUGCGGGUGGGUGGCGAGCGAUCGAUCGAUCGAAUCAGCCGGGCUGUUUUUCGGGGGAC
rnacentral:lncRNA from 1 species